UUACGGCCAUAUCACAUUGAAAUAGCAGUUCCCGUACGAUCACCGAAGCUCAGCAACGUCGAGCCUGGUCAAUAUCUAGCUGGGUGACCACUUAGGAAUACCAGGUGC
rnacentral:rRNA from 1 species